CUUUUAGUUUAUUUCGAUGUAAAAAAAAGUAAUUGUGUGCUUUGGUUCCGUGUUGGUGUUGUUUUUCUUUGCAAAAUCAUCAUUAAAAAUGCAUUACUGCGAUGCCAUCGAAAUAUAAAAGUCGUUGAAGAUGCUAACGCGCAGCCACUGCGAUUUAUUGCCUCACAAAGUCAAAGUCACACCGAAUAUUUAUUUAUUUAUACUUUUAGUGUAAAUUUAACAUGUUUUAUUUACGUUUUUUGCUUAAUUUAGCUUUGUUUGGUUGUUUUUUAAUUGUUUCAUGUAGUCCACAGUAUUAUGUAACGCCAGACGACUCGCCAUUUCCUACAACCGGAAGUGGGAUAGCUUCCUGGUCGAAUUAUAACAGAUAUGGCGCUGGUGCAUCACAAGGACCAUUUCAAUAUUAUCCUUCGUCAUCCGGCGCAUUCGACACACAAUCACUUUCAUCGAGUUUCUAUCCUAAUCAGAAUCAACCAACGCUCGGUUUCUACCCGCAACAAUCAACCACUGGGCUUGGUUCCACUCAAUUAACUUCGGCUUCAUUGGACGCGCUCCUAAUGCGGCCAUUGUUGGUCAUUGAUAGUCAAGUAUUCGCCAUGUAUGAACUCAUAAAAUGUUGGGAGCGGCACGGCGAGCUGAAAAAAUGCGUGAAACUUAUUGAAAAAUGCGACCAGCUGUUUAAAAAGAAAUCCACAGGGGGAGAUGACGACGAUGAUAAGAAAAAAGGUAAAAAAUCAAAGAAAAGUAAAGGAAAGAAAGGCAAGAGGACUAAAAAGAAAAAUCCAGAUAGUGAAAACGCCGACAGUCAGGAAGAUGACAAAGAUGAUGAAAACGCCGACGAAGACGACGAAGAAAAUGACGAAGAAGAAUGAUUUUGAUUAAAGCGUUAUUUCACGGAUGAUUUGAGGUUGAAAAAUUGCUGAUUAAGUAUAAUCAUAAUCAACUUAAUCACAACACAAUAAAAGAAAUACUUUUGAUGUAUAAAUAGUUGCCUACGUUAACGCACACAUCAAAAUAAAACAAUUUUUUAAUUUUACUCUCUACGGUAAUAUUGCACGAGUCUAGAAUGUUCAGAAACAUAUUUUAUAGGUAAUCGAUGUUGCAGACUGCGUUAUCACAUAAUACUAUGCACACAUGACUAACCUGAUUAGAUUAGGUUAUUGACAAAGGUGCAUACCGAUCGAUAACUCGCAAUAAACGCAAAACAACUUCAAGCUAUAAUAUUUAACAUCUUAAUAUGACAUAACCUAAAUUAUAAUCUCUUCAUUCAAUUGUUUUGUUAAGAAAUAUUAAAUAUUUUAAUUUUU